GACGAACGCUGACGGUGUGCUUUAGACAUGCAAGUCGAACGAGAAAGCCCUUCGGGUUAGUAAAGUAGGCGAACGGGUGAGUAACACGUGGGCAAUCUGCCCCUCGCAGGGGGACGAACCGGAGGAAACUCCGGCUAAUACCCCGUAAGUUCAAAGGGAGGCAUCUCUCUUCGAAGAAAGGUAGCUUCGGCCAUCCGGCGAGGGAUGAGCCCGCGGUGCAUUAGCUAGUUGGUGGGGUAACGGCCUACCAAGGCGACGAUGCAUAGCUGGUCUGAGAGGAUGAUCAGCCACACUGGGACUGAGACACGGCCCAGACUCCUACGGGAGGCAGCAGUCGGGAAUCUUGCGCAAUGGGCGAAAGCCUGACGCAGCAACACCGUGUGUGUGA
rnacentral:rRNA from 1 species